AGGUAGUUGGUGGGAUAAAAGCUUACCAAGCCGACGAUCUGUAGCUGGUCUGAGAGGACGACCAGCCACACUGGGACUGAGACACGGCCCAGACUCCUACGGGAGGCAGCAGUGGGGAAUUUUGGACAAUGGGCGCAAGCCUGAUCCAGCCAUGCCGCGUGCAGGAUGAAGGCCUUCGGGUUGUAAACUGCUUUUGUACGGAACGAAAAGACUCCUUCUAAUAAAGAGGGCUAAUGACGGUACCAUUAGAGAAAGCACUGGCUAACCUCGUGCCAGCAGCCGCGGUAAUACGAGGGGUGCAAGCGUUAUUCGGAAUGACUGGGCGUAAAGGGUGCGUAGACGGUAUGUUAAGUCUACUGUUAAAUUCUUCGGCCUAACCGGAGUCAUGCAGUAGAUACUGAUGUGCUAGAGGGUGGAAGAGAGAAGUGGAAUUCCCGGAGUAGCGGUAAAAUGCGUAGAUCUCGGGAGGAACACCGAUGGCGAAAGCAGCUUCUUGGUCCAUGCCUGACGUUGAGGCACGAAAGCGUGGGGAGCAAACAGGAUUAGAUACCCCGGUAGUCCACGCCGUAAACGAUG
rnacentral:rRNA from 1 species